CAUGCAAGUCGAACGCGAAAGAAUCCUUCGGGAUUUGGACGAGUGGCGAACGGGUGAGGAACACGUAAGAAUCUACCUUUCGGUUGGGGAUAACUUCUGGAAACGGGAGCUAAUACCCAAUAUGCUGUGGAGUGAAAGAAUUUCGCCGAGAGACGAUCUUGCGUCUGAUUAGCUUGUUGGGGUGGUAAUGGCACACCAAGGCGACGAUCAGUAGCUGGUCUGAGAGGAUGGACAGCCACAUUGGGACUGAGACACGGCCCAGACUCCUACGGGAGGCAGCAGUGGGGAAUUUUCCGCAAUGGACGAAAGUCUGACGGAGCGACGCUGCGUGAAGGAUGAAGGCCCGUGGGUUGUAAACUUCUUUUCUCGAAGAAGGAAAAAAUGACGGUAUUCGAGGAAUAAGCAUCGGCUAACUCUGUGCCAGCAGCCGCGGUAAGACAGAGGAUGCAAGUGUUAUUCGGAAUGAUUGGGCGUAAAGAGUCUGUAGGCGGUUUAGAAAGUCUUUUGUGAAAUACUUCAGCUCAACUGAGGCUCCGCAAAAGAAACUUCUAGACUUGAGGAAAGUAGAGGUACAGGGAAUUUCCGGUGGAGCGGUGAAAUGCGUAGAUAUCGGAAGGAACACCAAUAUGGCGAAGGCACUGUACUGGGCUUUCCUGACG
rnacentral:rRNA from 1 species